rnacentral:tRNA from 1 species
GGGGUUGUGGCUCGGUGGUAGAGCACUCAACGUAACAUGUGCGAGGUCCUGGGUUCAAUCCUCAGCACCACA